ensembl:lncRNA
GAGGUUUCUGUUUUUUAUUAUUUUUUUCAGGAGUACCAAUGAGUUGUAACAUACUGCCAAAGAGCUAUUGUAAUAAGAGAAAAGCAGAUUGUUCACAAUUACACUUAGAGCGUAACCACUGGCCAACAUUCAGUUGUCAAAGAGACACAGAGGCUACCACUGUCUAGCUACAAUAGUAAAUGUUGAAUGUAGAGAAAGCAUGCAUCAAAAAGAAUGUACAUAGGAGUAUUGCAGUAUUCUGGUGUAGUGUGGAUUUGCUUGUAAGGUAUAGUAGAGCCCUCAGCUAAUGUUUGUGGGAAAGACAGAGCUACAGGUUUUGUGAAUGAAAGGGUUUAGUGGCUGUGCAGGACCAGGCACUACAGUGGGUAAUGGGCCCUACUGGAGGGCCUGGGUCAUGUGACUCGGGUACAAUGCACAGCAGACAGGGUAAUCACAAAGUGUUUUACAAAAGAGUUGUUAAGUCACUCCUAUGGCAACAGGUUAGUCAAGGAAGAGAAAGUGUCCUUUCUCAGGAGUACAUUUAGCCUGAACAGCCAUGGAGUAGGGUCAGCACACAGUGUUAGUGAUAUGAGAUAAGGCAGUGAGGAGUCACAUACAGUUACUGUGUUCAACUUUAUGACUUAAACAGUCCAUAUACACUUGGCACAGGCAGCAGUGCCAGGUCGAUGUGGUGAAGAUGUGGUUAGAAAAGUUUUACAGUUAUAAAGUGACAUUCAUGCUGUCAAUCCUAUCAGACCUUUUGUGAGGAUAUGACAAAGACAAUUUUAGGUGCAAAGAGAACGCUAUACAUAGAUCAACUGGUGCAGUUUUUGCAAUGCAGUUUUGACCAUUUUAUUUGAUACACUCCAAUCCUUCAUCUUUGGUGAAGAUCUGUUGCUACAGUUAUUCUCCUUCACAUAUUCUAUACAUUCAGUAAACUGACAGUUGUGCUGUCAGUUUUGAUGUCCAUUUAGAUCAGCAGCCACUUGGUAUGUCCCUCCUGAGGACUGGGGGCUGCUCUGAGCUGUCUGAUGCAGGAGCGAGGAGGGACUGCUGUGUCCAGUGAGACAAGACACAAUACAGGACCACUGCCUUCAUAGAUAUAACAUAGGCGCCUGCCAUCCCUCAUGUCACAUUUCAGAAAAGAAAUCGCUUGAUAUAAAUUGCAUCUUCUUUCAAGAAAAAUACCAAUUCCUGCAUUAUGUCUAGAAAGUAUUUUGGAGAAGGUGCUUGGUCAGAUUAAUUGUCUUGAUUAAAGAUACUUGCUAAACAGUUUGCUCCACUCAUCUUCACAAACACUACAAAACAUUCGUGUAAGCCGAGGCACAGUCCUACUGCUGUGUCCGAGGGGAUACCAAAUACAAAAGGUAUUUGGCACACAGACAUUAAAGGCUUCACUAGUUUGUCCCAUCAUAGAGGCACAGAGCCAAACUCAGAUAUGUAUAGACCCCCCACCCACUGUAUCAUCCACACUCACACUUAGCCCAGUAAAACUAAAGACUGACUCUGGUGCUUGCAUGGCCCACUGGACAACCCAGUGUAAUGAACAGUAUACAUAUUUGCUGAGGACUUUAUCAUAAACUUAAACCUUGUAUCCACAAACUAAUCCAAUCUGCUCUGUAAUCUUCAUCUGGCUCUCCUCUCCCCCACUUUCUUACAGGCCACCGGAGUCUACAACGCUACUGCAGAAAUCUACUGCUCCAGCCCCUACAUGCAAGCUCCAGUACGACCAGAAAGCUGAAUUUACAAAAAUGUCUGCUCAGCUACAGGCUAAGCUACAGGCCAAACCUGGCUAUAAAGUGUAAAAAGACAAGAGGAAGAGUAUAGCUCAAACACAC